rnacentral:lncRNA from 1 species
UUGUCUUCAUUGGCUGCUGUAUGUAUUCUUCUUUUGGUUGCUGAACGUAGGUCUCAAUUGGUUGCCUUGGUUGUUGAAUGGUAGGCUUCCUCAUGACUAUAAAUUGGCAGCAAAUGGUUUCAUUUGAAGUACCAUAACCGAGUGUGAGAAGAAGACAAAAUAGCAAGAAAGGCAUUCUGCCAAAGAGAGAGAAUUCUCUUAAUUGUUCUUUGCUUUAUAUCAUUAUUUUUUUUUCUUUUCAAUCGUUGUGAGAGUGUGACUCGGGUGUAUUUGGGAUUUGGGUUUCUUGAGUGAUAAACACUUUGUAUACUCUCUUUGAUUACAGUGGAUUACUCUGUCGUCUCCAAACUGAAUGUAGGAAUAGCCGAACCAGUAUAAAUCUUGGUGUUCUUGUUGGUGUUUUUUUUUCCUUUUAUCUCAUGCCAGUUGUUGUUUACUUUUAUCCACUUACACUACUUGGUUGACGCUUUCGCACAAUAGGCCCCGCCCAAGAUCGAGAGGGAUAGGAGGUUCGGGGAAGAGUGUCGUCGAAUUUAACUGCAGACGUGAUGGUUUACAAGAAGAAGGCUGAGAAAUGCUAUACGACAGUUUUUAUAAACUGUACCAUGGAAGCUCUUGUUUUC